GUCUUCCUCCUGGUAACUCCUCGUGCCUCCUGUCCAUUUUGCCAUUUGAUGGACUUUAUUUUCAUGUGUGCAGGUGCUGUGAAUCGUAGAGAUCCCAAUCGUGACUCAUCCCUGCUCCUCUCCUCUGCUCCCUGGACAUUUCACCCCUCAGAAG